rnacentral:rRNA from 1 species
UACGAAGGGGGCUAGCGUUGCUCGGAAUCACUGGGCGUAAAGCGCACGUAGGCGGCCUCUUAAGUCAGGGGUGAAAUCCUGGAGCUCAACUCCAGAACUGCCUUUGAUACUGGGAGUCUCGAGUUCGGGAGAGGUGAGUGGAACUGCGAGUGUAGAGGUGAAAUUCGUAGAUAUUCGCAAGAACACCAGUGGCGAAGGCGGCUCACUGGCCCGAUACUGACGCUGAGGUGCGAAAGCGUGGGGAGCAAACAGG